UCUACCACCAUGCCCCUCCCCAGAUCCACUGCCUCUCCAGUUCCCCUCAUGGAAGAGCAGACCUCCCAGGGAUAUCUACCAAAACAACCUGUGAAUCAUUACGAUUAAGAACAAACCCUCAUACCAAGGUUAGAAGAGCUCCCAUCAGCUCCCAGAAUACAUCUCUCUGAUGACUACUGGGGUAGUCACUGAUACGCAAAAGAAGAGUCUCUGGACCCCUUCCAGAGUGAUUUGAAUCAGAUAUGACAGGGAAGACCACAUGGAGUUCCCAAAUUCUUUUGAGAAAAUCAAACAAGACAGAUAAAAUUGAUCUGCUGCUUCCUCAACAUGAGAAGAGCCCAAUAACUAGUUUAGGCAUAAAAAUGUGUCUAGCCAUAACUUCAACUAAA
rnacentral:sRNA from 1 species